CAGUAGCCACGGGAAUACGGAGGGUGCAAGCGUUAAUCGGAACUACUGGGCGUAAAGCGUGCGUAGGCGGUUCGUUAAGUCUGUUGUGAAAGCCCCGAGCUCAACCUGGGAAUGGCAAUGGAUACUGGCGAGCUAGAGUGUGUCAGAGGAUGGUGGAAUUCCCGGUGUAGCGGUGAAAUGCGUAGAGAUCGGGAGGAACAUCAGUGGCGAAGGCGGCCAUCUGGGACAACACUGACGCUGAGGCACGUAAGCGUGGGGAGCAAACAGGAUUAGAUACCCCAGUAGUCCCUGUCUCUUAUAC
rnacentral:rRNA from 1 species